rnacentral:rRNA from 1 species
GACGAACGCUGGCGGCGUGCUUAACACAUGCAAGUCGAACGCUGAAGACCUGGCUUUUGUUGGGUUGGAUGAGUGGCGAACGGGUGAGUAACACGUGAGUAACCUGCCCUCUUCUUUGGGAUAACGCCCGGAAACGGGUGCUAAUACUGGAUAUUCACUGGCCUUCGCAUGGGGGUUGGUGGAAAGGUUUGUUCUGGUGGGGGAUGGGCUCGCGGCCUAUCAGCUUGUUGGUGGGGUGAUGGCCUACCAAGGCUUUGACGGGUAGCCGGCCUGAGAGGGUGACCGGUCACAUUGGGACUGAGAUACGGCCCAGACUCCUACGGGAGGCAGCAGUGGGGAAUAUUGCACAAUGGGCGAAAGCCUGAUGCAGCGACGCCGCGUGAGGGAUGGAGGCCUUCGGGUUGUAAACCUCUUUCGCUCAUGGUCAAGCCUCAACUGUGGGUUGUGGUGAGGGUAGUGGGUAAAGAAGCGCCGGCUAACUACGUG